CCUUGACUGCAAUCAAGCAGACACUAGCCACGACAAGGAGAUUAAAAUG
rnacentral:ncRNA from 1 species